rnacentral:tRNA from 1 species
CAGGGAGACAACAAAAAUGUUUAGAUAUAAUUUUGUCACCUUAGGUCGAUCGGGUAUCUCACGUUUUCAUUUUUGAGAAUUUCAGUUUCUAAGUUUUUUCUAGGUCACCCAUUUUUCCUGGGCCAUUAGCUCAGGUGGUUAGAGCGCACCCCUGAUAAGGGUGAGGUCCCUGGUUCAAGUCCAGGAUGGCCCAUAUCUCUAUGUUGGGGGUAUAGCUCAGUUGGUAGAGCGCCUGCUUUGCAAGCAGGAUGUCAGCGGUUCGAGUCCGCUUACCUCCACUGAAUACCACCUUUCAAAUGAGAAGGAAUAUUGGGGAUUAAUCCUACUCUGAAUGAAUUCAGCCUCCUGUUAUUUAAUAAUUAAUUAAUAAGAUGCUGAACUCAAUGAAUUUUUAAUUCUUUGUUUUCAGAGAACCUUGACAACUGCAUAGAUUUUUUUCAAGACAAUAAGCAUCUUAUAAAGAUGCAGAUUUAUUAUUGGUGCUUAACGCAUUAAUAACAAUUCUAUUGAGCUGAUGCUUCAAUUUUUGAAGUUAUU